AAACCAUGCAUCGGACAUUUCUUAAGUAAUUCCUUGAAUCGCUUCCAAGCUUCAUAUAGUGUUUCAUCCUCUAAUUUCUGAAAAUAUGUGAUGUCAUUCCUAAACUU
rnacentral:snoRNA from 1 species